rnacentral:rRNA from 1 species
UGCAGUCGAACGGUGCCUUCGGGCACAGUGGCGCACGGGUGAGUAACACGUGGGAACCUGCCUUUCGGUUCGGAAUAACGUCUGGAAACGGACGCUAACACCGGAUACGCCCUAAUGGGGGAAAGUUUACGCCGAGAGAGGGGCCCGCGUCGGAUUAGGUAGUUGGUGGGGUAACGGCCUACCAAGCCGACGAUCCGUAGCUGGUCUGAGAGGAUGAUCAGCCACACUGGGACUGAGACACGGCCCAGACUCCUACGGGAGGCAGCAGUGGGGAAUAUUGGACAAUGGGCGCAAGCCUGAUCCAGCAAUGCCGCGUGAGUGAUGAAGGCCUUAGGGUUGUAAAGCUCUUUCGCACGCGACGAUGAUGACGGUAGCGUGAGAAGAAGCCCCGGCUAACUUCGUGCCAGCAGCCGCGGUAAUACGAANGGGGCUAGCGUUGUUCGGAAUUAC